rnacentral:rRNA from 1 species
GACGAACGCUGGCGGCGUGCUUAACACAUGCAAGUCGAGCGGUAAGGCCCUUUCGGGGGUACACGAGCGGCGAACGGGUGAGUAACACGUGGGUGACCUGCCCUUAGCUCUGGGAUAAGCCUGGGAAACUGGGUCUAAUACCGGAUAUGACUCCAUGACGCAUGUUGUGGGGUGGAAAGCCUUGUGCGGCUAGGGAUGGGCCCACGGCCUAUCAGCUUGUUGGUGGGGUGAUGGCCUACCAAGGCGACGACGGGUAGCCGGCCUGAGAGGGCGACCGGCCACACUGGGACUGAGACACGGCCCAGACUCCUACGGGAGGCAGCAGUGGGGAAUCUUGCGCAAUGGGCGAAAGCCUGACGCAGCGACGCCGCGU